AGCUGACAAGACACAAGAAGAGAGGAGACAAGAAGUGAUUUAUCUUCUCCUCUAAGAGAAGUCAACAAUGAUGAAGCAAAGCUUGAGAAAACAUAGGGAGACCAUAGAAGUGAGAAGGGACCUAGAUGAAAAUCCAGUCUAGAUCUGCAGAAAGAAGUCAUUCUGCACUGCUAUAAAAGCCAAGUUGUGAAAGAUCAAUGAUAGACCUUUGGGCUCAAUUAUGCCAUCAGAUAAGGAGUAUAUCUCUAAGACUCUCUAGCUAAUUUAUACACAAGAGAUGCUUAAAUUGGUUCUCUUGUGUAACUUAACAUGCACUGAAAGUUCUGCCAUUGGGAAGAACGUCAAUCAAAUCAAGAAGAUCCACACAGAAAGCAAGAACAGAUGUGGCACACUUGUGAGGAAGGUGUUGCAGAAGUGUAAAGACAGCCCAAGAACCCCAGAGUGAAGCUUCAGGUGUCAGCUCCUGUGGGGUAACAGAUCAACACUGUGCUGCCAGACAGAUUGCUUAAAUCUCAGGAAAGAGUCAUAUGAAUGUUUCAAGAAUUACUUACUCAUAAGAUGUAGGAAAAGAAGAAGCUG